rnacentral:lncRNA from 1 species
UUAAUAAAGUUAUUUGACAUGUUUUUCAAUCGGAAGAUGGAGAUAAGAUUAUCUGGACAUUGUAUAGAGACAUGUCUUGGUAAUAAAAAUCAUUCAACUCAACAGGAGAUGUAAUAAUUACAUAUCAGUGUAAGUGGACGCGGAAUAUAUUAUGGUGAACAUAAAUCUUGUUGAAUGUAAUCCUUUGCAAUUUGUCUUUCGCUAAUUAGUGAGAGCAACACAUUGCUUAAAUAUGCAGUUUCCCUUUCCACUACAUAGAGUUUACAUGCAGCUCUAUGUGCACUGUAAAUAAUUUGUUGUUGACAUAUUGUUAGAGGAAGGCAGCCAUAUCUGCUGAAUAGAUAGUGGUGACUGAGAGAUACUCACUGGAAAAACAGGUCUUUCUUGCUCUCUUGGAUUUGAG